rnacentral:rRNA from 1 species
AGGGCUUGACAUACACCGGAAGCGCCGUGAAAGCGGCGUGCCGCUUGCGGCCGGUGAACAGGUGCUGCAUGGCUGUCGUCAGCUCGUGCUGUGAAGUGUUGGGUUAAGUCCCGCAACGAGCGCAACCCCUGCCGUCUGUUGCCACCACGAAAGGUGGGGACUCAGGCGGGACCGCCGGUGACAAACCGGAGGAAGGUGGGGACGACGUCAAGUCCAUCAUGGGCCCUUAUGUCCUGGGCCACACACGUGCUACAAUGGCCGGUACAGAGCGCAGCGAGGCCGCGAGGCGGAGCGAAUCGCUUAAAGCCGGUCCCAGUACGGAUUGGAGUCUGCAACCCGACUCCAUGAAGUUGGAAUCGCUAGUAAUCGCGCAUCAGCAUGGCGCGGUGAAUACGUUCCCGGGCCUU